rnacentral:lncRNA from 1 species
UCGGUUGAUUUUUCCUCUAUCAAAAUCAGUCACUCACGCAGAAUUCAAUUGGCUUUUCGUCUUCAUCUUUCACGUUCAUUUUCGAGAAAAUCUAAAGUCGAGAAGCAAAGGUUAGCAUAUUAAAUCAGGUUCUCAGAUUACAAACCCUCACACCAGGUUCGUUUUAGUUGUUUUUAGUUGUAUAUCCAUCAUGUUAUCAACUUUGUUUUUUCUCUAAUUUUGUUGUAUUCCCAUGAAUUUGAAAAACACAAUCGUGUCUUCAUCUCUUUUUUAAUAGAAAGAGACAAUAAAUCUUCUACCGAAUUAUUUAUAUCUGUAUUAUUUUGGAGCAAUGUCAAGCAUGAAGCCAGUAUUGUUUGCAAACCAUUAAAUAUUGCCUUCAUUGGCGGUGUAAAUAAAUAUGGGUGGUCCUUGGUGUAAGUACUUGUUGUUAAUGAGGUACUUUUGGUUCAAGGGUUUGUUCAAAAUGAAUUAGAUCUCUGAUUGGGGAGGGUUUCUUCAUGAAUUUGUACAAAAAUGAAUUAGGUAUGUGAUUUGGGGUUUUUUAUUCGUGAAAAUUGGGUAUGUGAAUAGGGUUUUUUUCAUGAAUUUAUUCAAAAAAAUGAAUUGGGUAUGUGAUUUGGGGUUUUUUGUUCUUGAAUUUGUUUAAAAAUGAAUGGGUAUGUGAUUUGGGGUUUUUUCUUCAUGAAAAUUGGGUACAACUUCCCAUAUGUGUUUCCCCUGCAAUAAUUUUCCACAUUUUGGUUGCUUAUUAUAAAUUGAAUUGUUUUACUUGAGAUGCAUGUGUUAUUUCUAAUUGGCAAAUUAUUCUGACAAGGAGAUAUUUCAAAUUAACUAUAAUGAAUUUAAUUCAAUUUCCUUUCAAAUGUUGUGAUUCUUUCGUGUGUUAUGCAAGUUCUAAUUGGAGGGGUGUUACAGACUGAUUGAUGUACUCAUGAGUAAUUGUUGAAGCUGAUCAAUGCCAAGAACAUUAUGGAUAUAAUACUCGAGAAUUUCUGAAUAUUAUUAAUAAAUAUAUUAAUAAAAAUCGAGUAUUUAUUUGAGUAUAAUUGCAUAUUGUUGUGACAAGAGUUAUAGUACUUCUAUUCACUUAAAUUAAGUGUUGAGAAAUAUAUGACAGUAAGGUAAUGUAGUAACAUUGGUGAAGAGUUUAAUAUAAAGCUUGUGAGAAUUGCCUAGUGCGGCAUAAUAAAGGACUAAGAAAUUCAUUAAGUGAAUUAAGAGAGAGACUAUUUAAUAAGAGAAAGAUUAAUUAUGUGUAAUUAUAUAUAAUGGAAUGAUUAUAUAACUCCAUGCAUGAAAUAAAUAAGAUUUUUAGCUAGUAGUAUUAUCAAUUUGGGAUUUAAGUCAUGUUAUGUGAAACUGGUAUAAUGGUAGAGGUCGGGACUGACAUGAAGCUAAACCAGUUGAGCACUGCCAGGGACCGGCGCAGCUGCGCCCUUCCUGCAGUACAAACUGGCGCAGCUGCGCCAGUGGCCAGAGUUUGAAAGUUUUUUAUUACUGUAGAAAUUAUAUACAACAUUAUUGUAAUGUGUGACAUUAUUAAAAUCAUAUGAUAAGAGUACAUUUAAUGGUAUGAGGUACCAAGUAGCAUAAUAAAAUUUUGUGACAUUUUAAUACAUAAACAAUUAAUUAACUGUGUAUCUCAGAAAUUCAGAAAAGAAUUAAAUGUUUUAAUUUUUAAAAUAGACAUUUAAUAUUGGAUAGUGUUAUAAUAUUGAUGUAUGUGCACUAAUAAUAUCUAUGGAGAAUACCCGGUCAAUAAUACCUAACUGCAUUAUUUUAUCUGCAUUAAAUAUUAAAUUAUAUGAACCCAAUGUACAUGGAUUAUAUGAUAUGGGUACCUAUAUAAUCCCUAACUUUUCAUUAUGUAGUAACAUUUGUACAUUAGAAUCACAUGAGGGAACAAAAAGGGAAUUAAAUUAACCACAAUUGAACCAAAUGCUGAGGAUUUAAAAGCUUUGUUCCGUUUCAGUUACCAAACAGUAACCUAUAUCUACUUUAUGUAAAAUGCAAAGCUAAGCAUAGUGACUACAACCUACGUGAUGAUGGCUGGAGAUGGCUGAGGAAAUGGUGGUUGACCAACUCUUAUAUAACCAUUCUUUUCUUCUUCUACCCAUUGGAUUCCAAACUUAAUGCAAAACCAUUAACCAGACAACCAUUUCUCUAUAAAUGGCAGCUUCAUUUUCAAUUCUUGUUGCUGUAAAUUGUCUGAGGAAUUAUAAGUUGAGAGUGUGAGUUUCUUUGUUGAGUAGGAAGGAGUCUGAGAUUGUAAAUAGUAGACAUUUAAGCUUCAAGAAGGUAAAAAUCUGAUUUUGUGUUCUUAAUUUCUAACUUGAUGAAUUCCUGGAAUUUCUAUGAAAACUUCUGCGAUUAUGGUUGUGGAUUGAUAUAGAUGUGUUUAUUAAGCUUGUUUACAUAUAUGAUGUAAGACCCCGAAUUUUAUGAAAUGAAAGUAUUCAAUUUUCUUAUAAUUAUUAUUUUAUUUCGUAAAUGGUUAAAUUGAUAAGAGGUUAAAGUUAAGGGUGAUAUGUGAAAAUUUUGCAAAGUAAGGAAGUUGAUGUAAAAUAUUCAUUGUGUCGGAGAGUAUUCGUUUUAACAGGGAAUAUUCGUACGACGGCAUAAUCAUUGGUGGACCCCACAACGAAAGUAUUGUCGUAGUUAGAAAAUGACAGAAAUAUAUUUUUAUAAAAAUAACGGCGAAAGUUUUACCGUUAAACUGUUGAACUACUCGGUAGUAAAAGUACAGUAAUACGCGUGGUUGCAUAGUAGCACACGAUAUUGAUUAUUGAUGCUUACUAAAUCACUCAGUUAUACUCAAUUAUUGUUACAUAAUUGCUGCAUCAUAUCUCUCAUAUUAUUGAUUCAAUUAUUGUCACAAUAUCAUCUGCAAAAUAUUUUAUAUUAUUAAAUCAAUAAUUGAGACGACAAAGUUAUUUAUAUUAUUAUUUGCAAUAUUGACAAUGUCUAGAAGUUCUGUCAAGGAGAGGUUUGGUCACCUAAUUGCGCGCCAAUAAGGAGAAAUCCUUAUCGGAAAGCCCCCUCUUUCCUGGGAACGACCUGGUUGUUAAAUAUUGUGAGUUAUAAUAUUAAUAAUGAAUAAGUUCGUGUUGAUUAAAGAUAAAAUUUAUAGUUCCAUUGUGUUGAGAUUAUUAGUGUUAGUGGAAAUCGAUAUUUAUUUCGAUAAUAAUUGAUGUCUGGAAGUUAUAUUAACCAAUCGAGUAAUUAAUCGGAUAAAUUAGUAAUUAAUUACUAUUAAUUCACAUGCUUAAUUGCUAUUAAUUCGCUUGAAAUAAUAUUUUCUUCCAUACUCUAUAGUAUGUAAGUAAUAUUAUUUCAUUUCAGAUUUUGAAUUCUAUACUCAUUUUGUUGAAGUUUUGGCUUUUAUACUCCAUGAAAUUAGUAGAAUAUCUUUGAUAUUUGCGCUUCAUCCAAUAUCUUUUCAUGGAAAUAUUAUUCUGAGCUUUCUUGAUAAUUAUUGAUCUUUUCAUGACGAAGUACUAUUCACGAGUUACUAUUUAUGGGUUACUAUUCACCCGGUUACUAUUCACUCAAAUAUUAUUCAUUCGGGUAUUCGGGACACUUUUCAUGUCGAAGUACUAUUCAUGAGUUACUAUUCACCCGAAUAUUAUUCACUCGGGUAUUUGGGGUACUUUUCAUGCCAGGGUACUAUUCACGAGGUAUUAUUCCUGAAGUACUAUUCACAGGGUACUAUUCACGGGGUACUAUUUACCCGAAAAAUACAUUUUUUUUCUGUCCAAAUUAUUUUUGGUACAUAAAUAUUAUUCUUGAAUUUUACUCCACAAAGCAGUAUCAUGUUGACAAUUUAGAUAUUUUUAAACUCUGAAUAAAUUUAAAGUCUUUAAUAUUUAUCCUUGAUUUCAUUUGAUUAAUGCUUAUAUCAUUGUCAUCAUCAUCAUGCUUAUAUUGUGAUGAAAGUCAUCUUUGGCUUACGUGCAUAGAUGGACUGUUGAUUGGUAUGAUUAUGACAAGGGAUCAUUCGGUAUAAUCAUGACCCCUAAUGUUACAAAUGAUGUGGUAAAAGUCCUCAUUAGUCCGUAGUGCAUUGAUGAACAAUUGUUAGUAUGAUUAUGACCAGGGAUUAUUCGGUAUAAUCAUGACCAUUGAUGAUUACAUGAAUAUAUUUGGCCCGUAGUGUAGGGAUGAUUCGAUGAUGUGGUUUAUUUAUUAAGCUGAGUCUCAACGAUAAAGUUGAUGAAAAACUUUUUAAAUCAUAGAAGAUAGUAGAUAUCAUGCUCUACUUGACUCUUCUAAUGGAGUGCUUAUUCCGCUGCAGUUGUUGAUCUAAAACGUGUUGUCUAGUAUAUUCUAUCAGUUGUUAUACUGUUGAAGGCUAAGGAUAAUUUAUUCUGCAUUAUCUUAGUCAUGAUAUUUCUUACUGGGCUAGUUGAGCUCACCCUUUUCUUUCAUUGUUCUCUUCAGGAAAUGAGAAUAUAGCUGGGAUGAGUCGGGAAAUGGAGUGAUGAUCCAGGAUAAGUGGCUUUAGUAGUCCUCACUAUUCUGUGAAAUAGUGUGAUAAUAAUUGUAAUGGGGACUCCAUUGAGAGUGGAUAUUGUCUAGAAGGCAAUAUUCUUGUUUAAACUCUCAGCUAUGUUUUGUCGUAUAUUACCC